ACGGGGCGCAGCAGGCGCGAAACCUUUACACUGCACGAACGUGCGAUAAGGGGACUCCAAGUGCGAGGGCAUACAGUCCUCGCUUUUUCCUACCGUAAGGAGGUAGGCGAAUAAGAGCUGGGCAAGACCGGUGCCAGCCGCCGCGGUAAUACCGGCAGCUCGAGUGAUGGCCACUAUUAUUGGGCCUAAAGCGUCCGUAGCUGGCCGAACAGGUCCGUCGGGAAAUCCGCUCGCUCAACGAGCGGACGUCCGGCGGAAACCAGUCGGCUUGGGACCGGAGGACCCGAGGGGUACGUCCGGGGUAGGAGUGAAAUCCUGUAAUCCUGGACGGACCACCGGUGGCGAAAGCGCCUCGGGAGGACGGAUCCGACAGUGAGGGACGAAAGCUUGGGUCACGAACCGGAUUAGAUACCCGGGUAGUCCAAGCUGUAAACGAUGCUCGCUAGGUGUGGCACUGGCUACGAGCCAGUGCUGUGCCGUAGGGAAGCCGAGAAGCGAGCCGCCUGGGAAGUACGUCCGCAAGGAUGAAACUUAAAGGAAUUGGCGGGGGAGCAC
rnacentral:rRNA from 1 species